AAAAAAAAAAAAAGGAACUUCACAGGGGGAGGUCCACAUGCAUAGGUUUGGGAGUUCCUGCUCUCUGGUGUCCCACAACUCACCCUUCUACCCUACCUAGACUGGCCUGGGGUGAUGCAGACCAUGAGGCUGAUCAUCCUGCACUGUGCACUGUGACUGGCAGGGGGCGCUGAAGCAGCCUUUUCUGCCCCACGUGGUGCGCAUGCGUGGUCUCACCACAGACUGCGUGGUGUGCGUGGCCUGGCGUCCACAUUGAGUAGAAGGAGAGCCUGCCUGGUUCCUGCAGGACCCGCUUGAGGAGGCACCGCAGCGGCGUGGGGAUGACUUGCAGACUCGUCCUGGAUGGGAAACAGCUUCUGUCUGUGGCCCUGACUGCUUAGGCGGGGGCUGCGUGCAACUCAGCUUCUCCGGGGCAUUUUUUCUACACGCCACCUGGACAGGGUCCCUGCCGUGGUCCAGCCUAAGGCAUUGGCUCAGAGCGCACCUGCCCGAUGAUGGAGCCUGACACACAGGAAGCAGCUCCUUGCAGCACCCCAGGCCUCUGCGGAGCUCCUCUGGGCAGAGUAACCUGGGGAACAAUCCGCUUCUGUGAAGCAGAAAUGCGCGUGACAUUUGGUGCCAUGACUCAGACUGGGGGACCUCCCUUGGGAGAUCAAUCCCCUGUCCUCCUUUCUUUGCUCCGUGAGAAAGAUUCACCUACGAUAUCAGGUCCUCAGACCAACCAGCCCAAGGAAUAUCUCACCAAUUUUAAAUCGGAAGUCAGGAAUGUCAGACCUCUGAGCCCAAGCCUGCACAGAUACAUCCAGAUGGCCUGAAGCAACUGAAGAAUCACACAAGAAGUGAAAAUGACUGGUUCCUGCCUUAACUGAUGACAUUAUCUUGUGAAAUUCCUUCUCCUGGAAAAAUGAGUCUCAGAAGCUCCCCACCAAGCACCUUGUGACCCCCCCCACCUCUGCCCACCAGAGAACCCUUUUGACUAUCAUUUUCCAGUACCUACACAAGUCCUAUAAAACUGCCCCACUCCUAUCUCCCUUCGCUGACUCUCUAUUGGGCUCAGCCCACCUGCACCCAGGUGAAUAAAAAGCUUUAUUGUUCACA
rnacentral:lncRNA from 1 species